rnacentral:rRNA from 1 species
CCUACGGGAGGCAGCAGUAGGGAAUCUUCCACAAUGGACGAAAGUCUGAUGGAGCAACGCCGCGUGAGUGAAGAAGGGUUUCGGCUCGUAAAGCUCUGUUGGUAGUGAAGAAAGAUAGAGGUAGUAACUGGCCUUUAUUUGACGGUAAUUACUUAGAAAGUCACGGCUAACUACGUGCCAGCAGCCGCGGUAAUACGUAGGUGGCAAGCGUUGUCCGGAUUUAUUGGGCGUAAAGCGAGUGCAGGCGGGUCAAUAAGUCUGAUGUGAAAGCCUUCGGGUCAACCGGGGGAUUGCAAUAGAAACUG